rnacentral:lncRNA from 1 species
GCUUAAUACCCAGCAAAGGAAACAAUUCCUGGCCCAGUUCUUAGACUAGCCCCCAGUUCUUUGACUCUCAUAUUUCUGUUUUCUCCAGGGAUUCGGAUUGUGAAACUCCUGUCCCUGUGAUGAUUUUUGACCCUUGCUUUCCAGUCUGCCUGGAAAUUACUCCCUGUUAAUUUGCACCUUGACCAUGACCUAUGCUACCUUCUCCCAGACCCUGCUUUGUUCCAUCUGCUGGAUUUCCAUUGUCAGGGUCCUGCCCAGGACUAACCUCUGCUCAUGAACAUCUUCUGGAAUGACUGUCUUGGCACUGUGGUUAACUCCUGAAGUCUUGCUGCUUAGAAGGAAUCCUCGUUGUGGGUUAUAUGACUCAGGAGGUCAUACCUGGCACCAAAAGAAUAAGUUAAUAAGUAAAAAUCUUAGAUAAAAUAAAGAAAGAGCAGGAAGAAAAAUCUGUCUCAUUCUACAAUCCACCAAUUUUUCCUGAGAUUAUUUGUCAGCUCUAAGGUCACUGACAGGCAGUACAUGGACUGAGUCAUUGGUACCUGCUUCACAGAUGUGGUGGGCAAAGAUAUCCUGUGGUGAGGAAGGGUGAGGGACACAGAAAGCGUCCAGACACUGGGAAUAAGUCUAUUAGUACUGCAAGGUUCUACCAUUUCUUAAGCUUCAGUGACUUUCAGCUUUAUUUCUUUCCCAUCACCCAUACACCAAAGUUUUAUUCCUAAGAUAUAGGAGACUGUUUUCCCUUACUUUUCCUUUUCCCCACCACCUUAAUGUCUUGUCUUUCAUUUCCACCUUUUCUUGAACUUAGAGUUUGUCCUGCCCUGCCUUACCUUGUCCUGUCCUUCCUUUCCCAUCCCUUCCAUUCCCUCCCCUUCCCCUCCUGCCCCCUCCUCUGUUCUCCUUUCCUCUCAUUUCUUUCUUUCUCUCUCUACUUCCUUCCCCUUCCCUCCUUCUCUGUCUUUCUCUCUGUGUAUCUGUCUCUCUAUGUCUGUCUCUCUAUGUCUGUCUGUCUGUCUGUCUGUCUGUCUCUCUCUCUCUCUCUCUCGCACAUCAACUCUUUUUAAAAUUUUUGGACAGGGUCUAAAUAAGUCUCUAGAUUUCCAGGCCUAAGUUAGAAUUUCUGAUCUUCCUCCCUCAGCCUUCCAGAGUGCUGGGAUUACUGGUAUGUAUCACCAUGCCUGGCUGAAUUUACUUUUUCAAUGUCAUAAAAGGCAGUAUAUUCAGGAUCUAGGCUCCAAGUUCAAGGCCAGGAAAAAUUAAGGAAUUUUCCCAAGGUUAUGCACAUGGGGAUGAGUGGAAUAAGAAUAAGAGUGGGGCUCGUGUAGUGGUGGCAUGCAAAUGAAUCCCCAGUUCUAGGACAGACAUUGUCCUGGGCUGUGAGGAAAUCCUAGUGAAUAAGAUGGGAAAGUUCUUAGAGAAUAAAAAGUCAUAUUCUAAAGGCAAAUGAUAUGAAAUAAGCAUAUAAUAAAUAAAUUAAUGGCAGAGGGGGAAAAAGCAUGGGAUGGGGACACAGACAGUGCUAUAUGGAGAUUAAUCAGUUAGCUUUCUGUCACUAUAACAAAAUAUCUGAGAGAAUUAACUUACAAAGAGAAAAGGUUUUACAAGUCCCAGCCCUGACAAGACUGACCCACUGCUUUGACUUGAAGAGUUGUAGAAAAUAACAACAUGCACAAGAUUUUUAUACUUAGGUGUUUGGAUUUCCUCUUGUUUCCUCUUUGCCUCCAUCUGAAGAGCAUUGGAGUGGGCUGAUGACAUGGAGGCUGAGAGACAGCGCCUCCAUUGCAUGAUUUAACCAUGCUUCUUCCAGAGCAAGGGGGUGCAUUGCCUCAUGACUUUCUGGGUGGGUUGGAUUUGUUUUUUGGCCUUCAUCAUUUACACUGGUCAUUGACACUACCAGACCUUUCUACCUAACUGCACACUUAAAAUGUGGUCACGCUUCUGUGACUCCCUUUGCACCAUGCCCUGGCUGCCCGAGUACCUUAAGAUCUCCAUUCCAGGCAGGCCUGGGCUAAGCUCUUGAAAAGUCUGGAACUAGCCACCACUCCUGCACUUACCUUUAGCAGUAACACACGUUUCUCCUUUUAAUGUUCAUGUGCGUUCCAUAUUUCCAGAUUGAAAACUCAUCUGGUUAAACAUCCUCAGACCAUAUUAUGAUGUUUACUGCAAGAGUAAUAUGAAUUCUCAAGAGGUUCUUUAAAUAACUCUGGCUAGGUAAAUAAAUAAAUGAUACCAGUUGUCAUUUACUGCACACCUACCAUGUCCCAGGAACACUUUUAAACUACUGACAUGUAUGCAUUUAGUGCUCACCAAACCCUCUAGUGUAGCUGUCCUGGUGAGGUGAAUUUGAGAGCAUUUGAACACCUGAACAGUAGCCGUGCCCCAGUCUGCAGCUUCUAGGUAAAAAGGAAGGGCCUGGCUUGGGAGAUAAUCUAUAAUUUUUAUAUAUGAAAAUUCAAGAUUUUAACAGUGUGGGGUAUAUGUGUGUAUAUUUUAUAUACUUAUUUUAUGGACACAUGUUAGACUAUGUUAUAACUACAUCAUACACUGUGAGAACUGAACAAAUGUGCUUCCUGGGCAGCGUACCACCUCAGGCCCAGCAAAGAGCCUCUAAGUCAACAGUCUACUCUGGGAUGGUGAGAAAAGCACAGCAUUGGAGCAGCUGUAUAACAGGGUGGUUACCUCUUCAUUUCAUGGACCCUUGAGAUCCUGAGUUUAGAUAGAAGUUAGUGGCAAACUGUCAGCUAGAUCACACUGUUGUGGGCAUUGGAAGUGUAUUCCUAGAGUUCGUUGCAAAUUAGGGGCUUGGUCCAUGCCAUUAAUUUCUUCUUUUUUUUUUUUUUGUACCAGGGAUCGAACUCGGGUCCUUGUGCUUGUGCAGCAGGUGGCAAAACCACUGAGCUAAAUCCCCGGCCCAUCAUUAAUUUAUUCUUUGGGAGGAAGCUCUGGGUAUGGAAACAAGGUCCUGGUACAUCCUAGGUGAAUGCUCCACCACUGAAGCAUACCCACAUCCCUCAGUCAGCUGAACAGGGCGCUGAGCCCACUCUCAGGGAAAUGGGGUCCACAAGAUUCUCUUCUUACUCUUACCCUCCACGGGAGCACCUGACCCAGCCCAAGGACUCAUUUUUUAUGUGAUAUUUGCAAGCUUCUCUAUCUAUACCUUUAUUCCUCCUGGGUAAAAAGUUUGAUAGGAAUGUAAGUGGGUAUCCUUGAAAGAAUAUUUCUAUUUUGACAGGGACCAGUGACUUUGAGUAGCUUGAGAGAAUACUCACGUGAGCCUGAGAAUGCCAUGAGAGAUUGGGCAUAGACACAUUCCCUUUUACCCACCAUGACUCCACAGCCUCCCUAGCUGUUUGUCUCUCUCUUCUACUGAGGCUUCAGGUAGUAUUCUUUUACAAAAAAGGGGCUCUGUGGCAAUGAUGAAGGUAUCUGGAAAAGUUAAAACCUUCCAGCCAAGUUCUAAGCAUCAAUCAUUUUGUUAUCAAUUUUCUGCAAAAAGUUGUGGAUUUUUUUCCCCUGCUCAUAAAUGCCUCCUAGAAAAAUAAGAGUUGCAGUAGGCACUUUCUUUUCCCCAGGCACAGAACUAUCAAACUUCUCAGCUGGAAUUCAGAGACAGUAAGCAAACUCCCUAAAUACUAACAUGGCAUACGAGCUGUUUUCCUGGCAGGAUGGUUUUGUGCCCAUCAACUUGGGAGUGCUAUGGCAACUCAGUGGGGCCUUGCUGAAUAGCAGUGGCACUGGGACUCUUCACUAAGGUCCUUCUGGUGCCAAGCAGUCCCCAAGUCAGAGCAUGUGCUGAUUUCAACAUUUGUUGUCACUGUAGAUAAAGAACAAUCAGCAAAGAUCCUGAUCCCAUGACCCAUUUCUCAAUUCUUCUGGUUUCUGGGAAUCAGCAUACUGAUUAUGUAGACUUGGCUGACUAGGAGAGGCUUGGGAUUCCCCUACUGGCUUAUGUCCUAUUUUGCAAAAUGAACAACUGUUUUCUUUUUCUUCCUCAUUUGCAAGGUAGGGAAAAUACUUCCUCUAGCCCUGUAGCAAAUCUCCUUACUUUGCAAUUGCAUCUUGGUGUUCUGCUAGGUUGGUUAGGUGAAUAGGGGUCUGGUGUCACAAGGCUAAAGAGAAGUGAGGGCCUGGAUAGUUCAUUUUUUUUCUUCCUUAGCCUUUCCUUUUUCUUAUUCCCUCUUCUACCUUUCAUUUAUGUUUCAGGUUAUUUAAUGGAAAAUUGAAAGCAAUAUUUUAAGUAAAAUGCCUGCGUUCUCUUAAUGGGCAUGGCUGUGGCCAACAGACCUAUAGGUCGAAUGGCUAUGACACCAAGCAGUGGGCACAUACACGUGCGUCGGCCAGUGUGCCCAAAUCAAGUACUGUAUGUGUGUGGAACCACAUGCUCUUCUAGAGCUUUUCAGAGCCGGGUGUAUGCUGGGCUGCAAGUGUUUUUCACUUCUUUUUAGUUUUUAAAUGAAGACCCUUUUUAGUUAUCUACCUCGGAUACUCCAUGAAAUGGAAGAAUACCUCACUGCAUUUACCAACUCCAUUGUGUGGCUUAAUUGAUGGUCAGUGUGGGCCUUCUUUGGGUUUUCAGAAUGUGGGAGUUAAUCAUAGUGCUUCCGUUGCUCCCUUUGGCAAUUCUGAGGAGCUACGAGGAUCCUGAUUUGUUCGCUGCAGUUUUAAAUGACAGUGUGUGGGAAACAAAUCAAGGAGUUCUGAGUCUGGUGGAGCUGCAGCUAGGGGCCUGUUCGUACAACCUCCAUGUCCUCAUCUGUAAAGUGAAGGACAAGAAGCAUCUGCAGUCCAAGGCCCCUUCUGGACUCCUGGUUUGGUAUGUGCUGGGCCUGAUCCCCUGGGGUGAGUGGGAGUCUGUGUCUGUCUUGUGAUCUUGGCUAGAAUUUGUGAGGUUCUUCCCCCAUCAUCCGCAUUGUGUAUGGACUGGAAGAGCCCUGGAAACCCCAAAGCUGAUCCCAGAGGCCCUUAGGGAGAGCUCCAGUCCUGGAAAUAAGUUCUGUUUGGCAAAAUAAGUUCAUCUUCUCUUAAACUGUGUAGGCUUUCUAGGUUCUGCCAAAUGGAGAACCAGUGAGAAGUGUUCAUGAAUAGAAACUCACAUUUCUGCUCAGUAGAGCUCCUAAUGAUUAAAUGCCUUUUCAAAUAGGUACAUCAAAGGCAAACAAAUCAGGGUGUGGGACUCUGUUGUGGGUCUAUGAGAUCUGUUAUCAUGAGUUAAGUAUUUUUUAAAACGUGGUAUUGAGUCCAAGAGUCUACUCGAUUAUUAUGAAACUAAAAACACAUUACAUUCCAAAGAUAUUUUGGAAACAAUAGAUUUUGAUAUUCACCGGUGGCUUUUAUCAUUUCAACAAACUUGUAUUUAGAGAGCAGGUGGUGUCUGUGAGCCUAGACCAUGGAACUGGUGUUUAGUGGUGAAGCCGAUAAUUCUCCCACUUGCUUAAAAGAUUGAGCCGAGACAAGAGAUUUUUACCUGACUGUGUCUUCUGCCAGAAGCCAGAGAAAUGCACAAUCUUGGAACGCUGAGACGUGGAUACCGCAUGUCUAAUGGAUGGAAUCUUUUUUUGUCUGGGGUAGAAAUAUACAACUAUUGACUGUGUUACGCAUAUGGAGUAAAACUGAUUGCAGGUGGUACAACGGUUUCUUCCUUUCUGCCUCUCCACCUUCCCCUGGCACCAGUUUCCUAUGCUUGGAGAUACGAAUAAUGGGAGCCCAGUGAUCAUGAGAAAAUUCUACUGGGUUGAUGAACAACAACAGUGAAGGGCAGGAACAGUACAAAACCAGUACUGGGAGGACAACUGAGACCCAUAAUUACUCAGUGAGUUGACCUUGCCCUCCUCAGGACACCUGAUGUGCUGCUGAGCGAUAAAAUAUAUGGCUCUGGUAUCAGAUGCAAAUUCACAUCUCCCCACACUGGUAGGUUUCCUGUGAUCCUCAGGCCACGCACUCAUUGACACCCAUCUUUUUCAUUUGCAAUAUAAGUAUAUAAAAAUUAGAUUUUUGUGGGAUGAAAUGAUAGAGCUAUAACUAUUACUAUUAAUUUUUAGUCUGCAGUGUGUCAAGAACAUUAUCCUGACAUGAGUUCUCUUUAUGUACUAAUAUCUAUUUUAUUUUUUUAAAAAAUCUAUUUUAUUUCUAGUUUUCCAGUGAUCUCUGAUAAAAUCACAGGUACCACAGACCUGUGAUGCUCUAUUAAAAUCUAAACAUUUUUUUCUGAGUCAGAAAUAUUUUAAAAAAUCUCAGGAACUUCCCAUACAAGAGUUUAAUUAGGUAAACACAUCAAAGAAUAGCUUAGAUUAUUUUGUUUAUAGUCUCAAGAGAAAGUUCUAAAGGACAUACUCCU